UGGAUUAUUGUUUGAGGGCUUUUCUCUC
rnacentral:piRNA from 1 species